AACGAACGCUGGCGGCAUGCCUAACACAUGCAAGUCGAACGAGACCUUCGGGUCUAGUGGCGCACGGGUGCGUAACGCGUGGGAACCUGCCCUUAGGUUCGGAAUAACUCCCCGAAAGGGGUGCUAAUACCGGAUAAUGUCUUCGGACCAAAGAUUUGUCGCCUUUGGAUGGGCCCGCGUUGGAUUAGCUAGUUGGUAGGGUAAAAGCCUACCAAGGCGACGAUCCAUAGCUGGUCUGAGAGGAUGAUCAGCCACACUGGGACUGAGACACGGCCCAGACUCCUACGGGAGGCAGCAGUGGGGAAUAUUUAACAAGGGGCGAAAGCCUGAUGCAGCAAUGCCGCGUGAGAGAUGAAGGCCUUGGGGUUGUAAAGCUCUUUUACCCGAGAUGAUAAUGACAGUACCUAGAGAAUAAGCGCCGGCUAACUCCGUG
rnacentral:rRNA from 1 species